UAACCUCUCAAUAAUGCAGUCUAUAGCACUUUCACAUACACCAUAGGAAUGGACACAGUUGAUUAAAAUCAAUUUAGUGCUAUCAGAACUAACAAGUGACUUGUUUUUACUCAUAUGAACCUUAUUCAUGGGCUCUCCAAUCACAAAGGUUAGGUUACCAUCACUUGUUUGUUUGCAAGUGGCUUAAGUCCCAUUCCCCUCGAUGUUACUAAUAUCAUUUGUCUUUCCAGGGGUUCUGUCAAAGGAUCUGCUAGAUUCUGUUUUGACUUCACAUAAUCAAUGGAAAUAGUUCCACUCUUUAGCAACUGCUUCACCAAAUUGUGUCUCCAUUGUAUAUGUCUAUUUUUUCCAUUUUAAUUCCUCAACCACUCAGCCUCACUUCCAGCCAUCUCAGUAGCAACAAACUCAAAUUUCAUAUCUUGCAAUAAUAGUUCGCCUGGCUGAUCUCCAUGUAAUCACCCCACCACCAAGUUUGAAUACAUAACCAUU
rnacentral:lncRNA from 1 species